rnacentral:rRNA from 1 species
AUGGCGUUUAUUAAGAGAAAUGCAAGUCUUGUAUGGUUGGCGGCCCUCGUGUUGGUGAUGGCAACUGUGAUGUCGUCUUGUGAUGCUGAUCCAAAAGAAUACUGCAGUGGGCUUGAAGAUGGUUGCACCAAAUCUAAGUGCAGGGAUUGGUGUGCUGGCGUAGGUUACACCAAGGGAUCUCAUUGCCAGGAAGCCGGCGUAUGUUGUUGUUUGACUGCUGCUAAACCCAAGGGCUGCUGCAUGCCACCAAAAGGAAGCUGGCUGAACAGCGAGCUGCACCAGGAUAGAUAUUGUUUGGCUACAUCGGCGAGCAGUGGUGCUCCUUUCACAGUAUUCCCUCCUGGAAGUGCUCCACCUCCUCCUGAAUUCUUCAAUAUGAUCAACCGUGGGUCUGGUAAUGGGCAGCAGCCACCUCAGCACCCCGUAAAUAUAAAUCUGAACGACUUCUUUGGUCAUGCAAACGUCAACGCGAAUGCGCCCAAGGACCAACGGCUGGGAAUCCAGGCAGCCAUACGCCAGCAGCUCCUUUCCCAGCAAACACCGCAGUCCCUCCUCCUGGUUUCCCCUUCAUGGGCUCAGGCACCGAAGCAAAUCAUGCACAUCAGGCUUCAGGCGGACAUGGCGGGGGGCAGGGUGAACCCGCAGAUGUUUGGACCGCAGAUGGGCCCCAAUGAUGGUGGUGCUGGUGCGCCAAGAAGUUCGUCGGCUCCCUUCUUUAGACUUUACAAGGGUUUUUUUCUCUCUCUGAAUUUUGCAUUUUGGUUGAUCGUCACAGCAUCGUCUUCCCUAGUUAUUCAAACUGCGGCUCACCCCAGAUCGCCGGCCAACAUCUCGCCCCAAAUCCCCUUCCAUCUCGCCCCAUACCCCCUUCCAUCUUGCCGCCAAUCUUGCCAAGGAGAUCUCCAUCCGUGGAUGCUUGCUUCUCCCGCUGGUAUUGCCGAUCGCUGGAGGUGGCCUAGGAUCUCGGCCAGCGCCCAGGAUAGCCUCGUGCGCGCAGGAUCACAUGUGUCGUAUCUUCUCCUCUGCUCCUCUUGCCGCCUCUCGGCCAGUGCCCAGGAUCGCCUUGGUCUUGCUCCUCUGCUUCUCCUGUGCUACAUCUGCUCUCAAACUAGAAACUGGCAUGCAGAAACUGGAGUAUAG